UCGCCCGACCUCGAGUGGCACGCCGCCUGCCUCAAGUGCGCUGAGUGCAGCCAGUAUCUGGAUGAGACGUGCACGUGCUUCGUGAGAGACGGGAAAACGUACUGCAAGCGGGACUACGUCAGACGCCGGGUCCGGACGACAGUCCUCACUGCGCACGCACGUGCACAAGCAGGCGGAGAAGACAACCCGGGUGCGGACUGUGCUCAACGAGAAGCAACUGCACACCCUGCGGACAUGCUACGCCGCCAACCCGCGGCCCGACGCGCUCAUGAAGGAGCAGCUGGUAGAGAUGACCGGCUUGAGCCCGCGGGUCAUCCGCGUGUGGUUUCAGAACAAGCGUUGCAAGGACAAGAAGAAGUCCAUUCUCAUGAAGCAGCUACAGCAGCAGCAACACAGCGACAAGGCGAGUCUCCAGGGACUAACUGGGACGCCUCUGGUGGCGGGCAGCCCCAUCCGCCAUGAGAACGCCGUGCAGGGCAGCGCAGUCGAGGUGCAGACGUACCAGCCGCCCUGGAAAGCUCUCAGCGAGUUCGCACUCCAGAGCGACCUGGAUCAACCCGCCUUUCAACAGCUGGUCUCCUUCUCCGAGUCAGGCUCCCUAGGCAACUCCUCUGGUAGCGACGUGACCUCUCUGUCUUCGCAGCUCCCGGACACCCCCAACAGUAUGGUACCUAGUCCGGUGGAGACGUGAGACAGGACCCUUCCCUGCCAGCCCGCGGACCUCGCAUGCUCCCUGCAUGAGACUCACCCAUGCUCAGGCCAUUCCAGCUCUGAAAAAUCUCCGGCCCUUGUAAUUAUUGUUGUUAUUUAAAGCGAGCGGGCAGAGGCACGUGACAGCGACAGGACGGCCAGCAGCGCGGGGACACUUGCCUGCCUCGCUGAGACUGGAGACUCCUGCUUCAAGGACUUUUCGGUUUUUCUUUUUUUCCUCAUAACUAGAAUUUGGGACAUUCUGGGUUGGCUCCGCCCUUGCCUCUCCCUCGCCGCGUGGGGAACUGCCACUCUGUCUCUGCGCCCCACUCGCCCGGGAACCCACUUGGUGGGGUCCUACGGGGCUCUACCGGCGAGGACGCCUGCUCCGAAUUCGCCUGCGCUGACCGAGGCUUUGCUCUGGACUUGGCGGCGAGGACGGGACAAAAACAGACAUAAUCCCCAAAGCGCAUGACUGCCGGACAGAGUAGAAACGAGACUGUCUUUUAAAAAGUGUUUUAAAUUAUCAGUCGACGGAGGACAGUGAGAGCCUUUGCCGAACAAACGUAAGUUAUUGUUAUUUAUUGUGAGGCGAAUAGUGGGACGAAUAUUUUGAUCUUAAUAAAAAACAACCCGAUGCCAUGCCG
rnacentral:lncRNA from 1 species